UAAAAGGUGGCUGAGUUGUAGGCGAUAAAUUGUAAAUUUAUUUACGGGUCUUUCCCCUCUUUUAA
rnacentral:tRNA from 1 species